CAAUAGCGUAUAUUAAAGUUGUUGCAGUUAAAAAGCUCGUAGUUGAAUUUCGGGUCCCCGCGCUCGGCGCUUCAUUGUGCCGUCGUGGUGUCCCUCCUCGCCGUAAGGCGUCCUUUACUGUGAAAAAAUUAGAGUGUUCAAAGCAGGCAAUCGCUUGAAUACAUUAGCAUGGAAUAAUAAGAUAGGAUCUUGUCUAUUUUGUUGGUUGCGGACAACGAUAAUGAUUAAUAGGGAUAGUUGGGGGUGUCCGUAUUGAGCUGUCAGAGGUGAAAUUCUUGGAUUUGCUCAAGACGAACUACUGCGAAAGCAUUCGCCAAGGAUGUUUUCAUUAA
rnacentral:rRNA from 1 species